AUGCGCACACGAGGAGCGACGGCGACCGCGUCUGCCGCCAACACCGAGCUCUUCGUUCUUUCAAGCCCUAUGUUGCUUACUCAAAUGUUUGUGGCGAUUGUAUCCUUGUGCCAUGAAUAUUUGUACUUAGCAGAUCAAUAUAAACAUAUUGGCUAUCUAUUUACCAAUUCAGAAUUUAAAGCACUUUAUUUUAUGGCCUUGAGUAAAAGUUCAGUCGUCGUUGGCUGGAAGACAUCUUCAAUACGCCGUCAACACGAGCUUCCCAAGGUAAUGAUCUAAGAGGAAGUGAGUUGGAGAUGAGAUGGGGACAGAAGAUCCUGCAGCGAUGUUGUUUCUUUGUUCUCCUGCUCAAGCUCAGGUGGAUGAGCCACGUCCUGUGUUAUUCCCCUUCGUUUCUGAAGCUCCCAGGAUUUAAUAAUGAGUUGUCUUGGGCUUCAUUGGACAAAUGAUCUACCUCGAGCAAUGAUACAGGUUGGCGUUGAAGCCUGAUGGCGUUUUUCUUGCAGCAAAUCUUGGCAGGAAGACUCUAAAGUGAUAAUCUUAAAUUUGCCAUUUACCGACAUUUUCCAGUUUCUUGUUUGACUUGCCUUUUCUUGGAUGCGAUGAUAAGGGAACUAAGAAUUGUGUGCACUAUUGCUCAAAUGGAACAUAAGGGAGGUAUCAGUCCUCAAAUGUUGCCUCUAGAACAACUCAGGUGGAUGAGCCACGUCCUGUGUUAUUCCCCUUCGUUUCUGAAGCUCCCAGGAUUUAAUAAUGAGUUGUCUUGGGCUUCAUUGGACAAAUGAUCUACCUCGAGCAAUGAUACAG
rnacentral:rRNA from 1 species